AGAGUUUGAUCCUGGCUCAGGACGAACGCUGGCGGCGUGCUUAACACAUGCAAGUCGAGCGGUAAGGCCUUUCGGGGCACACGAGCGGCGAACGGGUGAGUAACACGUGGGCAACCUGCCCCGUACUCUGGGAUAAGCCCGGGAAACUGGGUCUAAUACCGGAUAUGACCUUCUGCCGCAUGGCGGGGGGUGGAAAGUUC
rnacentral:rRNA from 1 species